AUGAACGCUGGCGGCGUGCCUAAUACAUGCAAGUCGAGCGAACGGACGAGAAGCUUGCUUCUCUGAUGUUAGCGGCGGACGGGUGAGUAACACGUGGAUAACCUACCUAUAAGACUGGGAUAACUUCGGGAAACCGGAGCUAAUACCGGAUAAUAUUUUGAACCGCAUGGUUCAAAAGUAAAAGACGGUCUUGCUGUCACUUAUAGAUGGAUCCGCGCUGCAUUAGCUAGUUGGUAAGGUAACGGCUUACCAAGGCAACGAUGCAUAGCCGACCUGAGAGGGUGAUCGGCCACACUGGAACUGAGACACGGUCCAGACUCCUACGGGAGGCAGCAGUAGGGAAUCUUCCGCAAUGGGCGAAAGCCUGACGGAGCAACGCCGCGUGAGUGAUGAAGGUCUUCGGAUCGUAAAACUCUGUUAUUAGGGAAGAACAUAUGUGUAAGUAACUGUGCACAUCUUGACGGUACCUAACCAGAAAGCCACGGCUAACUACGUG
rnacentral:rRNA from 1 species